ACCCCUACCCCUAGCUUUUAAAUUAAACUUUAUCUUUAAAAAAAAAAAAAACUUUAAAUACUCCCGUGGUUUCGCACUUUCUCACUUUAGUACCUGCGGUUUCAAGUGUAUCAACUUAGUACCCUGUGGUUCACGUUAGUACCUGUAGUUUUAAUUUUCUCUUUUUAUUAUCUAUUUCGGGGUAUAUAAUUUUUUUUUUAUUAUCUAUUUCGGGGUAUAUAAUUUUUUUUUUUUUAGAGAUAGGUAGCACGCUACCCGCUUCGUUUAUUUCAUUUAGAAAUAAACUUAGCUGGAAAUGUGAAUCAAGUCAUCAACUAGGAUUCGAACUUGGGUCUUAAGUACCAACCACCAAGCCCUUUGCCACUUGCUCUAGGGACGGUCGGUUUUCAGGGUAUAUAAUUUAACGAAAUAUUAGACCACGGGGUACUAAAGUGAGAAGGUGCGAAAGCAUUGAGUACUAACUUGAUACACUUGAAAUCACAGGGUACUAAAGUGAGAAGGUGCGAAACCACAUGGUACUAACUUAAUACACUUCAAACCGCGAAACCAUAGAGGGUUAUUUGAAGCUUCCCAAAAAAAAAAAAUUAAGGCCUCGUGUUUGAGAUUGUGGAAAAAUUACUUUACGUGUAGUGAGAAAGUACGAUAAAAAAAUAUUCUAUUUAUUUUCGCACAUAAUAUUAUAUUUCAUAUAGAUACAUUAACUCCGUUUUACCUAAUAAGUCAGAUAAAUUUCAAUACAAAACUAAAUCUUACUAUUACAC
rnacentral:lncRNA from 1 species